ensembl:rRNA 5S_rRNA 5S ribosomal RNA
GUCUCCGGCCAUACCACCCUGAAUGCACCUGAUCUCAGAAGCUAAGCAGGGUCGGGCCUGGUUAGUACUUGCAUGUGAGAUUCUUACUAUUUUUACGGUAUGGCAAAUAGUAAGUACACAGAAACAUAGGAGACA